UUCUCCACCACCACCACCACCGUAUUGUGUCCGCCCUCCACCACCUCCGCCAAAUUCUCCUCCACCGCCUCCUCCACUGUACUCCUCACCACCGCCAAACCCUUACAUUUAUAGCUCACCACCACCUCCGCCACAUCACUCACCACCUCCACCGCCACAUUCACCCCCACCUCCUAUUUAUCCAUACCAAUCUCCCCCGCCACCUCCACCAGUCCAUUCACCACCACCUCCAUCCCCACCCCCUUGUAUAGAACCACCUCCCCCUCCACCACCACCAUGUGUAGAAUAUUCGCCCCCACCUCCAUUGCCUUCACCUCCACCGCCAACUCAUUAUAAGCCCCCGCCAUCGCCAUCACCACCACCAGCACCAGUAAUUUAUGCUUCGCCACCUCCACCACCACCAGUUUACUAUCCACCACCACCACCACCACCACCAG
rnacentral:lncRNA from 1 species